rnacentral:rRNA from 1 species
CAGUAGCCGCGGUAAUACGGAGGGUGCAAGCGUUAAUCGGAAUUACUGGGCGUAAAGCGCACGCAGGCGGUUUGUUAAGUCAGAUGUGAAAUCCCCGAGCUUAACUUGGGAACUGCAUUCGAAACUGGCAAGCUAGAGUCUUGUAGAGGGGGGUAGAAUUCCAGGUGUAGCGGUGAAAUGCGUAGAGAUCUGGAGGAAUACCGGUGGCGAAGACGGCCCCCUGGACGAAGACUGACGCUCAGGUACGAAAGCGUGGGGAGCAAACAGGAUUAGAUACCCCUGUAGUCCCUGUCUCUUAUAC